UGCUACUAGAGAGCCGGCAGACAGUGUACAGAGAAACAGCAAGAGAGGGAGGCAGAGAAGAGGAAAGUGCCAUAGCUACCUACAAGUAGGAUCCCAGAAGCCAACGCUGCUGAUCCUGUCAGGAUACGCCAGCCCACACAGUCAGGAUGGGCUGUACAACAGGCCAUUUGGCUUGCCAACCACAGCCGCAGACCAACUUGGGGCAGGAGGGUCAAUCGCUAGAGACUGGUGGGGCCAAAGUGCCCGAGGUGCUCUCCUCUCUGGAG